UUAGGUUUGUGUUCAUUUCUUUCUUUCUGGGUUCUGUCUUUCCUGUCUUUUUUUUUAAGUUUUGCUCCUCGUGAGUUUUCUACUUGACUUCCUGUCGUUGUCUGCAUCUGUUCCUCAUGUGUUUCACCUGUGUCCAAUUAACCCUGCCUCCCCUGUGUAUAUAAGUCUCUGUGCUGCAGUUUGCCGUCUUACAGCUUGACCGUUCACGUCAUUCACCCUUAGAUCCUUUGCUUGAUUUGUUCUUGUUCCCCAGUGUUUUCCAUGUUUUUUCAGUUUAGCCUUUUUGAGUCAUUUCCUAGUUUUCAGUGAUGUUUGUGGAUUUUGUUUUUUAAGAACUUUAGCCUUAAUUAAAGGACACAUCUCGCUCCUGCAUUUUUGGGUCCACCUGCUCAUUAAACCCUGACACUAUCCCUUUAAAGAAAGUGGGAACAAUCCUGAAUCUUCGCUAAAAUUGUCAAUGCUGUAACACCCGGGUGCAAAUCUUCUGAUGAGAUCCUGGUGAAGAACGCACAGAAUCUCCUCCAGACGGUGCUGCGUGGGGUCCAUGCUGCUGAGACAGCCUGCAUCAUAGGUUUGAAGCAGCCUGAGCCAGACUCGGACGGCGCUGAGGCUACAGCUCUGUGUUUCCAGUGGAAGAGGAAUCUGGAGAUCCAUCGAGCUCAGCAGACCUCGAACCCAAAGACUGAUGAGCUGGGUUUGAGGAAGACCUCAUCGCACCCUGUAGCACCCAGUCUUGCCCCGCCAGUUAAUGUGCAAGAUGGCUUCAAAAAGUAGUGCCGGUCUCCAGAAAAACAUACUUGGACUGAUCAAAUUUUUGAUUUGACUACUAAACCCUUGCAGCAUUUCCACAGAAUGCCAUGCUCUAAUAUUGUAUUGAAAAUGAUACAUUAUAAUAUUUGGAAAUGCAAACUAAAAUUAAACAUUUCAACUUAAUCUGCAAACAAAAUUGA